rnacentral:rRNA from 1 species
ACGGAGGGUGCGAGCGUUAUCCGGAAUUACUGGGUUUAAAGGGUGCGUAGGCGGCUUUGUAAGUCAGGAGUGAAAGUUUGCGGCUCAACCGUAAAAUUGCUUUUGAUACUGCAGAGCUAGAAUCAGGAUGAGGUUAGCGGAAUGUGGCAUGUAGCGGUGAAAUGCAUAGAUAUGCCAUAGAACACCAAUUGCGAAGGCAGCUGGCUAGACCUGCAUUGACGCUGAGGCACGAAAGCGUGGGGAGCGAACAGGAUUAGAUACCCUGGUAGUCCACGCCCUAAACGAUGCUUACUCGACGUAUGGCGCUUGUCGUCGUGCGUCCAAGGGAAACCGUUAAGUAAGCCACCUGGGGAGUACGACCGCAAGGUUG